UACGUAGGGUGCAAGCGUUAUCCGGAAUUAUUGGGCGUAAAGAGCUCGUAGGCGGUUUGUCGCGUCUGCUGUGAAAAACUGGAGGCUCAACCUCCAGCCUGCAGUGGGUACGGGCAGACUAGAGUGCGGUAGGGGGAGAUUGGAAUUCCUGGUGUAGCGGUGGAAUGCGCAGAUAUCAGGAGGAACACCAAUGGCGAAGGCAGAUCUCUGGGCCGUAACUGACGCUGAGGAGCGAAAGCAUGGGGGAGCGAACAGG
rnacentral:rRNA from 1 species